UUAUUCUUCAACCGCUAAGGUGCCUCAGAUAUUGAGGAGAAUAGGGAAUCAGGUGAAAGUCCUGAGCUGUCGCGCAACUGUAAUCACCGCGAAAGUUUCUAUUUAAAAAUCCACUGUUUCGUACAGAAAUGGGAAGGAAAAUAGAAAUGGUGAAAGCCAGGAUACCUGCCUUAAAUCGGAUUGACAAU
rnacentral:ncRNA from 16 species